GAGGGUAUAGCUCAGAGAUAGAGCUCAUACUUAGCAUGCACGAGGUCUGGGUUCAAUCCCCAGUACCUCCA
rnacentral:tRNA from 1 species